rnacentral:rRNA from 1 species
UACGGAGGGUGCAAACGUUGCUCGGAAUCAUUGGGCGUAAAGCGCACGUAGGCGGCCUGAUAAGUCGGGUGUGAAAGCCCUGGGCUCAACCCAGGAAGUGCACUCGAAACUGUCAGGCUUGAAUAUGGAAGAGGGUCGCGGAAUUCCCGGUGUAGAGGUGAAAUUCGUAGAUAUCGGGAGGAACACCUGUGGCGAAAGCGGCUCACUGGACAGUAACUGACGCUGAUGCACGAAAGCUAGGGGAGCAAACAGG